CCUACGGGAGGCAGCAGUGAGGAAUAUUGGUCAAUGGGCGCGAGCCUGAACCAGCCAAGUAGCGUGAAGGAUGACUGCCCUACGGGUUGUAAACUUCUUUUAUAAAGGAAUAAAGUGAGGCACGUGUGCCUUUCUGUAUGUAUUUUAUGAAUAAGGAUCGGCUAACUCCGUGCCAGCAGCCGCGGUAAUACGGAGGAUCCGAGCGUUAUCCGGAUUUAUUGGGUUUAAAGGGAGCGUAGAUGGGUGGUUAAGUCAGUGGUGAAAGUUUGCGGCUCAACCGUAAAAUUGCAAUUGAUACUGGCAGUCUUGAGUACAGUUGAGGUAGGCGGAAUUCGUGGUGUAGCGGUGAAAUGCUUAGAUAUCACGAAGAACUCCGAUUGCGAAGGCAGCUUACUAAACUGCCACUGACAUUGAUGCACGAAAGUGUGGGUAGCAAACAGGAUUAGAUACCCCAGUAGUC
rnacentral:rRNA from 1 species